rnacentral:rRNA from 1 species
CCUACGGGAGGCUGCAGUGGGGAAUAUUGCACAAUGGGGGAGACACUGAUGCAGCGAAGCCGCGUGAGUGACGAAGUAAUUCGGUAUGUAAAGCCCUAUCAGCAGGGAAGAAAAUGCCGGUACCUGAGUAAGAAGCCCCGGCUAACUACGUGCCAGCAGCCGCGGUAAUACGUAGGGGGCAAGCGUUAUCCGGAUUUACUGGGUGUAAAGGGAGCGUAGACGGCAGUGCAAGUCUGGAGGGAAAGGCGGGGGCUCAACCCCCGGACUGCUCUGGAAACUGGACGGCUGGAGUGCAGGAGAGGUAAGUGGAAUGCGUAGUGUAGCGGUGAAAUGCGUAGAUAUUAGGAGGAACACCAGUGGCGAAGGCGGCUUACUGGACUGUAACUGACGUUGAGGCUCGAAAGCGUGGGGAGCAAACAGGAUUAGAUACCCGUGUAGUC